AUGUAGCACAAACUGUUACUGAAGGAUCCUCGUCUGACGUGGAUGCAGAUGAUCCAACACUGGUCAUCGGACUUACCCCCUGGAUUGAGUCAGCCACUUUGGGUUGACCUUGUUUGGCACCUCCAUUGCCACUUGUUGCACAAACAUCCAAAGGACAGCCAACCGUCCCGUUUUAAGAAUUCUCGAGUCUAUCCACAACACACUAACCUCCCCCAAGAUGGACGCGAUUCUAUAGUAUUUUAUGAAUUGUCGAUAGUACGUUGGCAC
rnacentral:lncRNA from 1 species